rnacentral:tRNA from 1 species
CAAAUUUGAACUUGAUAAAAAGUAUUUCUUUUACAUUGAAAAUUUUAAAGUGUGAUUC